rnacentral:rRNA from 1 species
GUCCCGGCCCUAAACGGUGCGCAUUUGCUGUGAGCGGAAUCGACCCCGCUCGUGGCGGAGCUAACGCGUUAAAUGCGCCGCCUGGGGAGUACGGCCGCAAGGUUAAAACUCAAAGAAAUUGACGGGGGCCUGCACAAGCGGUGGAGUAUGUGGCUUAAUUCGAUGCAACGCGAAGAACCUUACCUGGCCUUGACAUGCAGAUGGUAGAAGCCUGAAAGGGUGACGAUUCCGCAAGGAAAGUCUGCACAGGUGCUGCAUGGCUGUCGU